rnacentral:rRNA from 1 species
CCUACAGGAGGCAGCAGUGGGGAAUAUUGGACAAUGGGGGCAACCCUGAUCCAGCCAUGCCGCGUGUGUGAAGAAGGCCCUCGGGUUGUAAAGCACUUUCAGUGAGGAAGAACGCCUGGUGGUUAAUACCCAUCAGGAAAGACAUCACUCACAGAAGAAGCACCGGCUAACUCCGUGCCAGCAGCCGCGGUAAUACGGAGGGUGCGAGCGUUAAUCGGAAUUACUGGGCGUAAAGCGCGCGUAGGUGGCUUGAUAAGCCGGUUGUGAAAGCCCCGGGCUCAACCUGGGAACGGCAUCCGGAACUGUCAAGCUAGAGUGCAGGAGAGGAAGGUAGAAUUCCCGGUGUAGCGGUGAAAUGCGUAGAGAUCGGGAGGAAUACCAGUGGCGAAGGCGGCCUUCUGGACUGACACUGACACUGAGGUGCGAAAGCGUGGGUAGCAAACAGGAUUAGAUACCCGUGUAGUC